rnacentral:rRNA from 1 species
UGACCUCAAAUCAGGCGG